GGGGCAGAACGCAGCUUGAAAGGGGGGUUGCCAGUAAGAGUUUGAAUCCUUAGAAAAUUAUUCAACAGCUAACUCAAGCUCUGUGGAGCCUUCUUCUUCUGCAAGGAGGAUGUUUCUUAGCCCUGUGGUGUGGAACACCAUAUUCCAAUCUUCUGGAAGAGCAAGAAAAUAGGAUCCCCUAAUCAUUUUGGGUCAAAAUCUCCUGAAUUUCACCAGUGUCACCACAGUGAGCAUAAACCAGCAAAAUUUACAAGCAUACCAUCUAUAGUAAGAGGACAAGCAUUUUCCUUUGUACAGCAGGGUCAUGAACAGUGAAAGAGGCCUCUGAAUGCUAC